rfam:Oryza sativa Japonica Group DNA, chromosome 2, cultivar: Nipponbare, complete sequence.
UUUAAAUGCAACCAUGAGUUUCCGUGUUCAACUUUAGUCGUCCGUCUUAUUUGAAAAUUUUUUAUAAUUAGUAUUUUUGUUGUUAUGAGAUGAUAAAAUAUGAACAGCACUUUAUGUGUGACUUAUGUGUUUUAAUUUUUCUUAAAUAAAUUUCAAAUAAGACGGACGAUCAAAGUUGGGCACGGAUAUUCAUGCUUGCACUUAAA